rnacentral:lncRNA from 1 species
UUUCUAAAUUCUAUGUGAAACACAAUAUUCACAAGAAACUUUUAUCAAGGCACCGUAAUAAAUUGGUGUGGAAAAAAUGAACAUGUCUCUUACUGAAAGAGAAAUAUGUAUAGGUUAAAUGUUGGACUCUUAAAUAAUUUAUGAGUAAAGGAAAUUAAUAUGGCGUGUUAUAUUUUUAACAUGUUAUCACAUGCUUCAGUGGAUGAA